rnacentral:rRNA from 1 species
CCUACGGGGGGCAGCAGUGGGGAAUAUUGGACAAUGGGGGCAACCCUGAUCCAGCCAUGCCGCGUGUGUGAAGAAGGCCCUCGGGUUGUAAAGCACUUUCAGUGAGGAAGAACGCCUGGUGGUUAAUACCCAUCAGGAAAGACAUCACUCACAGAAGAAGCACCGGCUAACUCCGUGCCAGCAGCCGCGGUAAUACGGAGGGUGCGAGCGUUAAUCGGAAUUACUGGGCGUAAAGCGCGCGUAGGUGGCUUGAUAAGCCGGUUGUGAAAGCCCCGGGCUCAACCUGGGAACGGCAGCCGGAACUGUCAAGCUAGAGUGCAGGAGAGGAAGGUAGAAUUCCCGGUGUAGCGGUGAAAUGCGUAGAGAUCGGGAGGAAUACCAGUGGCGAAGGCGGCCUUCUGGACUGACACUGACACUGAGGUGCGAAAGCGUGGGUAGCAAACAGGAUUAGAUACCCUGGUAGUC